GCAGAGGUUUUCAGGUGAUAUAACAAGCAGCUGUCUGUUUACUGCUGACAUUUUGGUGAAAAUAUGGGUUCUGUUUUCUUAAACAAUGGGAUGUUCUGCCAAGCCUACGGGAAAAUUGCCAAGGAGGCAAGAUAAGAAUCUUGCAUUGUAUUCAAUAGGCCCCGUGGCAUCACUCAGGCACUCCAACAGCCAAGAGUCUCAUGCUCGAACAACUGAGCUGUUCCAGGUGCUAAUUCUCCAAAAUUCUGGAAGGUGGGUGAGCGGGGUGGGGCGUAGAAAUACUAGUUGCAUGUUGUAACUACAGUGUAGCUUAUUUCAUUUUAUUCCAUUAAAUUUAUAUAGGAAACCCAGUCAGAUGGACGGGGUAUAAAUAAUAAAAUUGUUGUUGUUGUCAGGACUGGUCGUUGUCCUCUUCAGAUCACCACACAAACGCUUCUUGUUCUUUUAUAACUUUUUAUUGUGUAUUAACAAAAUAAUCUUAUAAACAGUUCUUAACUAUUAUUCCUCAGAGUCACUUAUUUCAGAUACCUUCUGAGCUCUGCUUCUCCGUGACCAGCCACCCUCAAAAUGGCGAAGGCGCCCUUCCCUUCGUUUCCCCCCUCUUUUUUCUAACCUCCUGGCUAGAGCUGGCCUGUAUCUCCCCUCCUCCGAAUCUAAGCUAGAACUUAACCCUUGCCUUUCCUGUGAACAGCCGGUCCCUCCCUGUUGCUCCUCUUGCUCCCUUCUAUUAGAUUCACUGCUCUCCCUCCCCCCUUGGGGAAUGCUUUCUCCCUCUGAGAAACUGGAAACUUCUAACUCUUCCCUGACAGUUAUUAACCAUUUGAUUGUUGAAAAAAGCUCAAAGCGAUUUACAAAAAAGAUAAAACAAUAACAUUAUCACUAAAAAAUUAACAAUAAAAUAUUUCAGACUAUGUUCUAUGAAGGAGAUUGCAGACUGAAUCUAAGGUACUGCUGAUAUUUGAGAUUUCAGGUACACACCUAGGGUUCUGGAAUAAAGAAGCAAUAAGUGGACUCAGUUCUUGAAAACAUUCAUUAUCUGUGUUACCUAGAUCUGUCCCAUGCCUUAUGUGAAACACGCAGAUUCCUGGUUAGGGAGACAUAGCCGUUUUUAUAUUAUAUUAUUAUUUUGGAUGGUGCGCUAGCUGAAAGAAUCUAUUGAAGCCAAAUUGUGUUGUCUUAUCUGUUAUGUAGAAUUAUCCAUCUUCGGAUGGUAGUAAAUUAUCUUUCUGUGUUACUGAACCAGGGAUGGAUGAAUCUCUGAAGUAGAGAUGGACAGAUCAGUCAAAAUGGGUUUCACUCGGUUUCUUGCUUUUCCAAUCUUAAAUUCAAUUCAACACACUUCCAAAUCAGUUUCUUUCCCCACCCCAGCCCUCACAAAAAUUCAUCAGCAGUUGUGUAUGCAUUUUUGCCUAAUAUUUUGCAAGGAAGUGGUGCAGCAAUAAAAAAGCAACUGCUGGCACAUUUGCAAAACAAAGCAAGGUCUGGUAUAGUUUUAAAUCGGAUGGGGGACCAUGUGUUGAGAUUCCUGUAUUGCACUAGAUGACCCUUGGGUUCCCUUACAACUCUAUGAUUCUGUGAAUCGAUUAUAUUUCCUGGUAUAAUUCAUUUUUAGAUAUCAUUUUAAUAUAUGCAUAUUUAUCCCUAACAUACAUGUUUUUGGACACAUUUCUCUGACCAAAGCUGUGUUCAAAUAGCAUAUAUUAAUAUAAGGGAUAACAAUGCAUAUGAAAAUAUAAAGUAGCUGUCCGUCAGAAAGGAGAGCACAACACAGCCUAGUACAGUUUGCACGGCCCCAGAUUUAUUACAGGGAGGAUGAUUGUUUUGGAACAGAGUUCACUGUUACUGUUUCCUACUCACUUACAGGGAAUUGGCAGGAAUCCAGGCUGAAGUACCGGUGUUCAUGUAUUGGAACAGCCAGAUCCAUGCAACUGGCAAAGCUCCCUGAAACUGAUUCACCAACAGCUGCAUGUCAUCUCCGACAUGCCAAUAUUUUAAAACUUGACUCUUGUUUCCCUAUUGACAACUUCAGGAUGUAUGUAGAAGAAAUGCAAAGCAUCUCUGAAAUUGUCUCUUCGAUUUGCAGUUUGCAGUUACUUAUGCUAUCCACCAAGUACUUCCAGUACAUAAAAGAGCACUAAAACCCUCCCUUCUGGUCACAGAGAUGUUCCUCCAUUAGCAC